GAGAGUUUGAUCAUGGCUCAGAUUGAACGCUGGCGGCAGGCCUAACACAUGCAAGUCGAGCGGUAACAGGACUAGCUUGCUAGUUGCUGACGAGCGGCGGACGGGUGAGUAACGCGUAGGAAUCUACCAAGUAGUGGGGGAUAAGCCAGAGAAAUUUGGUCUAAUACCGCAUACGUUCUUCGGAAGAAAGGAGGGGAUCUUCGGACCUUUCGCUAUUUGAUGAGCCUGCGUGAGAUUAGCUUGUUGGUGAGGUAAGAGCUCACCAAGGCGACGAUCUCUAGCUGGUCUGAGAGGAUGAUCAGCCACACUGGGACUGAGACACGGCCCAGACUCCUACGGGAGGCAGCAGUGGGGAAUAUUGCACAAUGGGCGCAAGCCUGAUGCAGCCAUGCCGCGUGUGUGAAGAAGGCCCUAGGGUUGUAAAGCACUUUCAGCAGUGAGGAAAGGUGUGUGGUUAAUACCCGCAUACUGUGACGUUAACUGCAGAAGAAGCACCGGCUAACUCCGUGCCAGCAGCCGC
rnacentral:rRNA from 1 species